UCUUAAUCCUUGCCCUCGCCGCUGCCUCGAGAUUGAGCAGGCGGCGCGGUGGUUCCUUUUUCGAAGUUAGCUAAUGCCUCUGGCCCGCAAAAUCGUGUCAAUUCUUCCUUGAUGGAAGUAUUUUCUGAUGUUAGCUUUUCGCAUUCCUCGGAGAGCCUUUGUAACUCAUCCCUAAGAGUACGGUUCUCGUUGUUCAAUGUCUGCACUCUUGCCUGCAGCUCUUCACACUCCGCCUGCUUACGUAAUCUCGACCUCCUGGCAGACUCUCGGUUAGAUUGCUUCCUUUUCUGUCUUUUUAGCUCGCG
rnacentral:misc_RNA from 1 species